GCAUCCGUGGUGUAUCGGUAACAUUGGGUCUUCCCAUUUUCGAUAACGUUCCCUCGUAAUGCGACUGGCCUAGCACCGGGUUCGACUCCCGGCGGAUGCA